CAGCAGUAGCCGCGGGAAAACAGAGGGUGCGAGCGUUAAUCGGAUUUACUGGGCGUAAAGCGUGCGUAGGCGGCUUCUUAAGUCGGAUGUGAAAUCCCUGAGCUUAACUUAGGAAUUGCAUUCGAUACUGGGAAGCUAGAGUAUGGGAGAGGAUGGUAGAAUUCCAGGUGUAGCGGUGAAAUGCGUAGAGAUCUGGAGGAAUACCGAUGGCGAAGGCAGCCAUCUGGCCUAAUACUGACGCUGAGGUACGAAAGCAUGGGGAGCAAACAGGAUUAGAUACCCCUGUAGUCCCUGUCUCUUAUAC
rnacentral:rRNA from 1 species